rnacentral:tRNA from 1 species
AGGGCCAUAGUGUCAACGGUUAGCACGGCGGUCUCCAAAACCGCAAGUGAGGGUUCGAAUCCUUCUGGCCCUG